rnacentral:rRNA from 1 species
AUUGAACGCUGGCGGAAUGCUUUACACAUGCAAGUCGAACGGCAGCACGGACUUCGGUCUGGUGGCGAGUGGCGAACGGGUGAGUAAUAUAUCGGAACGUGCCCAAUCGUGGGGGAUAACGUAGCGAAAGUUACGCUAAUACCGCAUACGAUCUACGGAUGAAAGCGGGGGACUCGCAAGAGCCUCGCGCGAUUGGAGCGGCCGAUAUCAGAUUAGCUAGUUGGCGGGGUAAAAGCCCACCAAGGCGACGAUCUGUAGCUGGUCUGAGAGGACGACCAGCCACACUGGAACUGAGACACGGUCCAGACUCCUACGGGAGGCUG